CGAGGGGAGUGAAAAAGAACCUGAAACCGUGUACGUACAAGCAGUGGGAGCACGCUUAGGCGUGUGACUGCGUACCUUUUGUAUAAUGGGUCAGCGACUUAUAUUCUGUAGCAAGGUUAACCGAAUAGGGGAGCCGAAGGGAAACCGAGUCUUAACUGGGCGUUAAGUUGCAGGGUAUAGACCCGAAACCCGGUGAUCUAGCCAUGGGCAGGUUGAAGGUUGGGUAACACUAACUGGAGGACCGAACCGACUAAUGUUGAAAAAUUAGCGGAUGACUUGUGGCUGGGGGUGAAAGGCCAAUCAAACCGGGAGAUAGCUGGUUCUCCCCGAAAGCUAUUUAGGUAGCGCCUCGUGAAUUCAUCUCCGGGGGUAGAGCACUGUUUCGGCAAGGGGGUCAUCCCGACUUACCAACCCGAUGCAAACUGCGAAUACCGGAGAAUGUUAUCACGGGAGACACACGGCGGGUGCUAACGUCCGUCGUGAAGAGGGAAACAACCCAGACCGCCAGCUAAGGUCCCAAAGUCAUGGUUAAGUGGGAAACGAUGUGGGAAGGCCCAGACAGCCAGGAUGUUGGCUUAGAAGCAGCCAUCAUUUAAAGAAAGCGUAAUAGCUCACUGGUCGAGUCGGCCUGCGCGGAAGAUGUAACGGGGCUAAACCAUGCAC
rnacentral:rRNA from 1 species